GGUGGCCAUUGUUUGAGCAUUUUGGUCCAAUUUUGGGGGGUUUUGAAGUCUGGGUUUACAUGCCCUCUUCAAGAACAGCUUCUCCAGAAAAUGAAUUGUUGGGAAUAUGUAAGUUUUGAUGUUAAAUUGAACUAACUACGCAUCUUCUCACGAAGAAGAAGAUCAAAAACAACCUACAAAACUGACAGCUUUGCCCUCAAAACUUAGUUCUUCCUCUUCCUCUUUGUUUUCUUUUCUACCCAAAUCCAAACCCCAAUUUCGUCUCUCUUCGAAUCCCUUUUGCAACCUAAACAAACCCAAAAACCAUCUUUUCUGAAUAUGACAACAUGUGUUGGCAUUAGGUGGCCAUUGUUUGAGCAUUUUGGUCCAAUUUUGAGGGGUUUUGAAGUCUGGGUUACAUGCCCUCUUCAAGAACAGCAAUCGUAUUAUGAUUUUAUUGCGGUUGUAUUGUAGUCGUAUUGCUUUUGUAUUGCUAUGGUAUUGCUGUUAUAUUGAUUUUUUUUGGUGUUUUAUUGAUAUGUUACUGUAAUUUAAUAGGAAUAUAUGUUGAUAUCAUUUUUCUUUAUCUGCUUGUGAUUUGAGUAGGAGUUGAGAUUAUUCUUGGCUGAAGUAUUAUUUACGAUCUCUCUCUUUCUCUCUCUCUCAGCUCUUUGUAUUUUUCUCAACAUUUAUGUGUUAAUUUAAUGUCUGGCAUUGUUUUGGAACCAUAAUCAUUGUCAAUCUCAUUGUUUCUUUAAAAGAUUGCUGUGAAAUUGUUACUUCAUUUUCUUCUUUCCUUUGUUUUAAGAUAUUUUUGUUUGGAGAAAAAGAACUAUGUUUUUGUAAUCUAAAAGACUAGGUAUCUAUGUCCCACAUCUUGGGACUAAUUGAAUGUUCUUGUUGAUAUUGAAAGGAAGCUGGCAUCUUUGGUUGAAAAAAUGAAGGUGUUACUGCUGAAGUAAUUUCUACUUGAUUUCAAUUUGCCUAUAAAACUUGUUGACUGGUGCUCAACAAGUUGGGUUUUUGUAGAUUGAAUUGGCUUAUAAUUUAGGUUCAUUUUUUGCAUGUGAGUGUUUUAAUGGAUUGGAUCUUCUACCUGUAUGUUUGUCAAAUCUCAAUCAUGUUUCUGAGAUGAGUUGUGCAGUAGUGUUGGUUGAAAAUUAAUAUGUUAUUUAUUCAUUGAAGCAUAUUGUUUCUCGAUGGUGAGUGCUUGACCAAAUUAUAAUUUGCUGCAGUUUUGUCUUGACAAUUUAUGUUUCUCUCUCUUUUUCUUUUCAAAUUGCACAAGGGAAAAGCCACACCCAACUCGUUUCCCUGUGAAGAACAAAUUUGAGGUUAACAAUUACACAAUGUGUUUUAGCUGGUUUGUGCAGACACUGAUGUGCAAGUCAUACACUGGCAUUGGAGACCAUUUUGUCCAUAAUGUAAUGUGUAGACAAGGAGUUCUUUGAGAUGCCUUCUGAAGAGAAAAGCAAAGCUUCUAUUAUGAAAAUGCUAAGCAAACUUGCAGCAAACUGUACACAUCAUUGAUUAUACUUGUUAUUAGGCCCCAAGAAUUAGUAAGGACAUAAGAUAUCAUGUAUUCUUCUUGUGGAGCCGUAUGUUUCUAAUAUUUGUGUAAU
rnacentral:lncRNA from 1 species